GAGGGUAUAGCUUAGUAGUAGAGUGCGUGCUUAAAAUGCACGAGGUCCUGGGUUAAUGCUCAGUACCUCCA
rnacentral:tRNA from 1 species